CAGUAGCCGCGGUAAUACGUAGGGUGCGAGCGUUAAUCGGAAUUACUGGGCGUAAAUCGUGCGCAGGCGGUUGUGUAAGACAGGUGUGAAAUCCCCGGGCUUAACCUGGGAACUGCGCUUGUGACUGCACAGCUAGAGUAAGGCAGAGGGGGGUGGAAUUCCACGUGUAGCAGUGAAAUGCGUAGAGAUGUGGAGGAACACCGAUGGCGAAGGCAGCCCCCUGGGCCAAUACUGACGCUCAUGCACGAAAGCGUGGGGAGCAAACAGGAUUAGAUACCCCGGUAGUCCCUGUCUCUUAUAC
rnacentral:rRNA from 1 species